rnacentral:rRNA from 1 species
UACGGGGGGGGCAAGCGUUGUUCGGAAUUACUGGGCGUAAAGGGCUCGUAGGCGGCCAACUAAGUCAGACGUGAAAUCCCUCGGCUUAACCGGGGAACUGCGUCUGAUACUGGAUGGCUUGAGUUUGGGAGAGGGAUGCGGAAUUCCAGGUGUAGCGGUGAAAUGCGUAGAUAUCUGGAGGAACACCGGUGGCGAAAGCGGCGCUCUGGUCCUCCUCUGACGCUGAGGCGCGAAAGCCAGGGGAGCAAACGGG